rnacentral:misc_RNA from 1 species
GAUGAAGAACGUAGUGAAAUGCGAUACGUAAUGUGAAUUGCAGAAUUCAGUGAAUCAUCGAGUCUUUGAACGCACAUUGCGCCCCCUGGUAUUCCGGGGGGCAUGCCUGUCCGAGCGUCAUUGCUGCCCUCAAGCACGGCUUGUGUGUUGGGCCUCCGUCCUCCUCCCGGGGGACGGGCCCGAAAGGCAGCGGCGGCACCGCGUCCGGUCCUCGAGCGUAUGGGGCUUCGUCACCCGCUCUUGUAGGCCCGGCCGGCGCUUGCCGACACAUCAAUCUUUUUUCCAGGUUGACCUCGGAUCAGGUAGGGAUACCCGCUGAACUUAAGCAUAUCAAUAGCGGAGGA